ACAACUACUUAAAACUUUUGACAUAAUUAUUAACUGCACAUUGGAGAACUGUUGUUGGCAUUCACAGGGGUAACGUUAUGACAGAGUUCCCUUGUGAUACCGUGGUAGGGAUUUGCCAGGGUGUUCAUUCAUUGGUUUAUUGGACAAGUAUUUGUUGAUAUUAUUGCCAGGCACAAUUCUUAUUGCUGGUGGUGGAGCAAUGAACAAAGCACAAAAAAGUAAAUUAUUUAGUACAUUAGAAGGGGAGGGUGCUAUGGAAACAGAAUAAGAAUGUGGGGGAAGGUGGUGCAUUUAAGAAUGUGGUCAUAGUGGGCCUCACUGGGAAGGUGUCUCUUGAGUGAACCCUUGAAGGAAGUAGGGGUGAGGGGUACAGAUGCUUAGGAGAAGAGCACCCCACUGAAGCCUUCGUGUGGAUUGUUCUGUCCAGCUCCCUUCUUAACCUGGGAAUCUGCAUCCACCUGACCCCUGUCUGUUGGCUGACUCCCAUCACAGAUUCUUGGAAGUCCUGUGUCCAAUGAGGAAAAUGCAGAAAACUACUUGAAGCUGCAUCUGUCACCUGUGUUCCUGCGGCAGGUGCCCUCUCUCCACAGUGCUGGGACUUUGCCACGGUGUGAACAGAGCCCCUUCGGAGCAUACAUCAGAGCCCUUGUAUGAGCUACAAGGGAGACACAGCAGAGCUGACGACGAGGCCAACAACACGAGGGGAGAGCAUGGCUGGGAGGCGGCCCUGAGCCCAAGCGCGGUUCCCAUCAAGUCACAGCCUCCCAAGCUGCGAGGGCUAUGCUUACGGCUUGCCACUUGGGCCCCAAAUGCUGUCUAGUUGCCUUUCUGUCACCUGACUUUGAGUCACUUUUCUGUUCUUUAUCAGCCUUCUCCAGAGUACUGAAUGGGCAGAUAAAAGAGGGAAUGUAAAUUGCUCAAUCAUGGUAUUUUAAUUGAGAGGUUUAGGGGAAAUAUCUAGGUUAUUUAUGAAGGUCGAUCUUCUGUGUCGUUCACCCCCUCAGAAUCGUGAAAGUUUUGCUGGGCUGGGUGAUUACAGAACUGAAGAAUGAUGAGGGCAGAAAGAUACCUGGAGCCCAGCGAACCCAGCUCCUGCAUUUGAAAAAGAUUUAGGGAUCCUCUUGCCACGUUGCAUGGCAUCCGUCUGUUCCUUGUGCUAGACUGGGGUCCACCUGAUCACAUGUGACGCCUGUUUCCUCCGAGCCUGGCACUGUGCCUGGCACAUGGAAGGUAUUAAAAAAGUGUUUGUUGAA